rnacentral:antisense_RNA from 1 species
ACCCAGGCUGGAGUGCAGUGGCAUGAUUUCGGCUCACUGCAUGCUCCGCCUCCCAGGUUCAAAUGAUUCUCCUGCCUUAGCCUCCCAAGUAGCUGGGACUACAGGGGUGUGCCACCAGGCCUGGCUAAUUUUUUGUAUUUUUAGUAGAGAUGGGGUUUCACCGUGUUAGCCAGGAUAGUCUCGAUCUCCUGACCUUGUGAUCCACCUGCCUUGGCCUCCCAGAGUGCUGGGAUUACAGGCAUGAGCCACCGUGCCUGGCCGAUGCCACCUCUUCUUGAAAGCCUUCUCAAUUCCUCAAAAUACAUAAACCAAGGAUCCCUUUGUGUUCCUCUAUUUCUAGCCUUGUCCUUGUUUCCUUGGACUGUCAUUGUUUAUGGGGAUACCUCCUUCACUCACGUGAGUCCUGAAAGCAUAGUGAGUGGCUGAAUCCAAGCAACCUUUGGUCACGUUUGUGUUCUGGGCCUUUAGAGUGCCUGAUGCAUGGAGAACAGCCAUUUAUUCCUUUUUCCUUUCCUUAGGAGUUACCUUUCGUGGAAGGGUAAGCAGAAAGCAACUACAAGAUCAUCAUUUCAAAACAAUAUGAAAGCAGAAUGGGAAAUGCCAUGGCAUGCUCCCUCUUUUCAGGCAAUAUGGACACUUUGGGGAAGUUAUGAAGUGUCUCCCAUUCCCGCUUGAGGUACUCAAUAGAGCCCACAAACACAAUGUGCUUGAGCUCGUGGUAAUGAAAGUUGCUGGCACGGAGCGGCAUCACCAGGUUCCGGAGGCCGAUCAGGGCUGAGCUGACAUCGCCAAAGAUGCAGACCACGACAUGGCCACUCAGGACGGUCAUAGCAGCUUCACUUCGAGUCUACAACAGGGAGAAGUGGGU